rfam:Monodelphis domestica chromosome 1, whole genome shotgun sequence.
UGAUGGGUUUUUUUAAAAACCACUCAUUCUACCUAGAGGGAGAAUU